ACAAUGAACCAAACCUAUUCAAUUCAAAAUACAGGUGACCCUUGAACUACACAGUAGUCAGGCUCAUUUCCACAGAGCCACCACAGGAACACCUAUCUAUUAAAUUUAUUUUUAUUUUAUUUUAUUUUAUUUAUUUAUUUUGUCUUUUGUCUUUUUAGGGCCUCACCGAGGCAUGGAGUUUCCCAGGCUAGGAGUUGAAUCAGAGCUAUAGCUGCCACCUACACCACAGCCACAGCCACUCAAGAUCCAAGCCAUGUCUGUGACCUACACCACAGCUCACAGUAAUGCCAGAUCCUUAACCCACUAAGCGAGGUCGGGGAUCAAACCCACGUCCUCAUGGAUACUAGUCAGGUUCGUUAAUCACUGUGCCACGACAGAACUCCAUCCUAUUAAAUUUUAAAAAAGGAACCAAAAUUGCACAACCAUGUAAAAGACGUAUAUUCCAGAUGACAAGAAAGGUACAAGAUUGAUUUAAAGAACAUAUUGAUUUUGUUAAUCUGGAAUUUCGAGAGUGAAUUAUUGUCUUCCUUUUAUUUUGAGAGCUAUAAUGUUGCUUAGGUAAUUUUAAAAUUCCUAUUUAUCCAUUCAUUCAAACCAAAUAUGUGGACUUGGGAAUUUAUGAACACUUCAGAAAGAGCCAAAAACAAUGAUUUCCACCCUUCCUAUAAAGGUUCUAAUUAAUGUUAGUGUGUAAAUACUUAUGUGGCUUUAGGAAAAUAGCUUAGACUUGUCAACAAAGGCACAAAACAGAGGAUGGAACCAUAAUCAUUCAUCUCUCUUAUAAAAUCAACAACUACAGGAACAUCCACACCACGACAAUUUAGUGUACAGACAUUAUAGCCAUAUUAGGUACAAUACCACUGGGGCUUUCCCAGAACCAUUAAAAAAUUAAAGAACUUUGAUAUUUAUCUGAUGUAAUCGCUAGAACAAAAGGGAUUUAUUUUUUAAUCCCUCGGCAUCUUUGGCUGAAAUGCAUUCUCUGGCAUUACAGUUAAGAAGAAAUGAAUCAAGAAACUUGCUAACUUAUAAAAUAGCGGGGUUUUUUUUUUUUUUUUUCAUAGUCUCCUGUUUGGAGCAGUAUCUAUGUAGUUAAUAUCAGACAAUUGAAGCAUUUAACAAGUGAGUACUUCUUCCCCAUUCUUCUUUGUUUCCUGGGAAUUUUACAUAAUGCUCACAUUUCCCAUUGAAGUGGGAAGUGGUGGAUGCCAGAAACAUUACCAAGUUAAACCACUUGUUACUUAAGAGAUUCAGGCCAAAGUGAAUCCUUCUCUAUUUUCAGAUAACUACCUCUAAUUCUUACUUGGUCAUGAGCAAACACAGCCAUAGAAUGUCUUAGAUAUAUUGAGCACAGAAAUAGCUUUCUUAUCAGAACUGACAAAAAAGAAUAAUUCAUGUUAGUAACUCAGUUACUUGUGAUAUCUAGAAUCAUAAUGCAAAGUCCUAGCCAUGAUCUGGCCAUCACAAUAGGAGUUGAGGGUAAAGUCCCAUCAGAGAUACUGUUUUCACCAGGGCUAAAAUGUAGGAAUUUGGAUGUUAUUAAAAAUAUUCUCCUUCAUCCCACACCACCAAAAUUGCUGACCCAGGAACUGAAUUUUGAUAACUAUUGGAAUGAUCAGACCAGAAUAUGAUUUCAGGCCUUACUGAGAUCUCAUUUUUUUUUUUCUCUCUUUUUUGGCUGCCCCAUAACAUAUGUCAGCUGAGGCAAUGCCAGAUCCUUAACCCACUGUGCCAGGCUGGGGAUUGAACCUGUGUCCCAGCACUCCAGAGAUACUGCUGAUCCCACUGCACCUCAGCGGAAACUCCACAUAGAUCUUUUAAAAGAACUAAGCUACACUAAUCUGAAAAGAGCAAUAAAUAAACAGAUCACUAGGUUAAAAACUUAUUUAGGGAGUUCUGUUGUGGCUCAGCAGAAACAAAUCCAACUAGGACCCAUGAGGAUUUGGGUUCGAUCCCUGGCCUCGCCCAGUGGGUUGGGGAUCAGGCAUUACUGUGAGCCAUGGUGUAGGUUGUAGACUUCGCUUGGAUCCCACAUUGUUGUGGCUGUGGUGUAGGCCAGGAGCUGUAGCUCUGAUGUGACCCCUAGCCUGGGAAUUUCCAUAUGCCUCAUGCAUGGCCCUAAAAAAAAAAUCUUAUUUGGUACAAAUUUUUAGCAGUUCUACUAUGCUUCUGAUUUUAUUUGAGCAGAGAAUGUCCUUGCAUUGUUUUGUAGAAUACUGAGUUUGUAUUCUAGGUAUAUAUGUUUUUCUCCAGAGAACUUGGGUUUCCCCCAUAUAUUCCAUGGGUCAGAGUCAGUUUCAGCCCAACUCAGGUGAAAUUUUACUUCUGGAGAGGCAUACAGCACUCUAACCAGGCAGGACCUGGUGUCUAGCCCCAGUGAUGGCCAUUCCUUUUUUUAUUAUUAUUCUGCUAAUUUUAUUUAUUUUUAUUCUGUUUUUUUAUUGAAGUAUAGUUGAUUUACAAUGUUGUAUUAGUUUCAGGUGUACAGCAAAGUGAUAUAUAUAUACAUAUACAUAUAUAUAUAUAUAUACACAUAUGUACAUAUAUAUAUAUAUACACACAUACAUUUAUACACUCUUUUUCAAAUUAUUUUCCCUGAUGGGUUAUUAUAAAAUAUUGAGUAUAGUCCCCUGUGUUAUGUAGUAGGUCCUUGUUGGUUAUCUAUUUUAUAUACAAUAAUGUAUAUCUGUUAAUCUCAUACUUCUAAUUUAUCCCUCACUCCCCCCUUUCCCCUUUGGUAACUAUAAAUUUGUUUUCUGUGACUGUGGGUCUAUUUCUGUUUUGUACAUAAGUUAAUUUGUAUCUUUUUUUUUAGAUUCUAUAUAUAAGCGAUAUGAUAUUUAUCUUUGGCUUACUUCACUUAGUAUGAUAAUCUCUAGGUCCAUCCAUGUUGCUGCAAAUGGUAUUAUUUCAUUCUUUUUAUGGCUGAGUAAUACUCCAUUUUGUAUAUGUACCACAUCUUAUUUAUUCAUUCACAUUGAUGGCCUUUUUUUUUUUUUUUUUGGACUUUUUAGGGCUGCACUCAUGGCAUAUGGAAGUUCCAAGGCUAGGUAUCAAAUCGGAGCUACAGAUGCUGGCCUAUGCCACAGCCACUAAUGCCAAGUUGCUGACCCACUGAGUGAGGUCAGGGAUCAAACCUGAAUCCUCAUGGAUACUAGUUGGUUUCAUUGCCACUGAGCCACAAUGGGAGCUCCUUGAUGACCAUUCUUAAAUUGGUGCAAACCCAAAGAGCUAGAUUAUUUCCUAAACUGUGUGGAGGGGCCAGGCCCAGAUGUUCAAUGUGGCUCAACUUCUGGAGAAGCUACAAGAUCAGCCCUCAGCAGUUCUGGGUCAUGAACCUCACAGUGGCUUCUCUGAGUGUUAGACUACAUUGAACAGUGUAAUUUGUCUCCAACUGCUGUCUUGCCACUUUCUCCCAAACUUUUGUCCUUGGGCCCAAAACUACAUUUUUGUUGUUGUUGUUGUUGUUUGGGUUUUUUUUGUUUUUUUUGUUUUUUUGUUUUUUAGGGCCACACCCGUGGCAUAUGGAAGUUCCCAGGCUAGGAGUUGAAUCAGAGCUGCAGCUUUGGCCUACACCACAGCUCAUGGCAUUGCCAAAUCCUUAACCCACCAAGCAAGGCCAGGGAUCAAACCCAAAUCCCCAUGGAUCCUAGUCGAGUUCAUUACGGCUGAGCCACAGCAGGAACUCCCCAGAACACAUUCUUAGAUUGGUGACUGUGGGUUUCUAUAGUUGAGACAUCAGAUAGUCAUAACAAAUAACCCUCCUCACCAUUUUAUAUAAAUAAAAUUUUAUAUUGGCACUGAUAGAAAUAGCCCCAAAGCUACAGCUUCUCUGCAGAAGCCAGAAGACAUGGGAAGCAAUACCAAAAUCGCAAUGAAAAAAAAAUCUUGCGAUUAACCUCACCUAUGUCUCACCUGCACCUCUCACCUCAGAUCAGAAAGCUCUUUCACACAAGUAAUAAUCAUUUGAUCUCCCAACAAUUAAGGAACAUUGUGCUGGGCUCCCUGCCAACUUAUCCUAUUACAGUAGAGAAAAUACUAUCUCUAGAAGGUUCUCACUUCAUCCACAAAGAAAGCCCCUCCCAGAUUAAAUCCUAAUAUACACCAAUCCCCCUCCCACCUAGGUUUUUCCCAUGCCUUUUUAAACAAAGCAUAUUCCAUCAAAUCCUAAAUCCUUGCGUUCAUCUUAUCUGCUACCUUCUUGCCCUCCUUGUAAAGCACAUCCUUGUACCACAGACAUUAGUGAACCUUCAUCCUAGAAUUUACUCAUCCUUCCCCUGGGUUCCCAAUUGUCUAGCCCAGUGCCGUCCAAUAGAAACAUAAUGAGAAAGCUACCUAAGUAAUUUUAAAUUUUCUAGCAGCCACAUUUUGAAAAAGUAAAAAGGAGCAGGAGUUCCCUCGUGACGACGAAGGUUAAGAAUCCUUUGUUUUCAGAGUUCCCUUCGUGGCUCAGAGGUUAACGAACCCGACUAGGAUCCCUGAACUUAGGUUGGAUCCCUGGCCUGGCUCAGUGGGUAAGGAUCCAGCAUUGCUUGUGGCUGUGGUGUACACCAGCAGCUAUAGCUCCAUUUUGACCCCUAGCCUGGGAACUUCCAUAUGCUUCGG
rnacentral:lncRNA from 1 species